GCUUCGGCCGUGCGGUGGAGCCCGGGCGCAGGAUGGAGGCAGCUGCUGUGCCAGGCCCGCCCGUGCCCCGAGCGCAGCCCCGCGGAGCAGCUCGGGCCGUGCGUUGCCGGGGCUAAUUUCAAAUUACCUUUUUUGCAAAUCUGCACAGACCCCCGGAAAUGGGAACAGAAAAAAGCACAGGCACCAAGGUGUGUAACACAGCUGUUACUACAGAGACCUCUCAAGGAAGGGAAACCACGUGUGUGAUAAAGAGCCACAGUAGCAAUUAAAAUGAUCCUUAACUCGC